rnacentral:rRNA from 1 species
UGUUUCCUACGGGGGGCAGCAGUGGGGAAUAUUGCACAAUGGGGGAAACCCUGAUGCAGCGACGCCGCGUGAGUGAAGAAGUAUUUCGGUAUGUAAAGCUCUAUCAACAGGGAAGAAAAUGACGGUACCUGACUAAGAAGCCCCGGCUAACUACGUGCCAGCAGCCGCGGUAAUACGUAGGGGGCAAGCGUUAUCCGGAUUUACUGGGUGUAAAGGGAGCGUAGACGGCAGAGCAAGUCUGAAGUGAAAGCCCGCGGCCCAACUGCGGGCCUGCUUUGGAAACUGCCCGGC